rnacentral:rRNA from 1 species
UACGUAGGGUGCGAGCGUUGUCCGGAAUUAUUGGGCGUAAAGGGCCCGUAGGCGGUUUGUCGCGUCGGGAGUGAAAACACCGGGCUUAACUCGGUGCUUGCUUUCGAUACGGGCAGACUAGAGGCAUGCAGGGGAGAACGGAAUUCCUGGUGUAGCGGUGAAAUGCGCAGAUAUCAGGAGGAACACCGGUGGCGAAGGCGGAUCUCUGGGCCGUAACUGACGCUGAGGAGCGAAAGCAUGGGGAGCGAACAGG